rnacentral:rRNA from 1 species
UACGAAGGGAGCUAGCGUUGUUCGGAAUCACUGGGCGUAAAGCGCACGUAGGCGGAUGUGUCAGUCAGGGGUGAAAUCCCUCGGCUCAACCGAGGAACGUCGAUCGAUACUGCUGUUCUUGAGGAUUGCAGAGGAGACUGGAAUUCCCGGUGUAGCGGUGAAAUGUGUAGAGAUCGGGAAGAACACCAGUGGCGAAGGCGACGUGCUGGGUUGCACCUGACGCUGAGAUGCGAAAGUGUGGGGAGCAAACGGG